rnacentral:rRNA from 1 species
AUUGAACGCUGGCGGCAGGCCUAACACAUGCAAGUCGAGCGGAGCGGCGGACGGGUGAGUAAUGCUUAGGAAUCUGCCUGGUAGUGGGGGAUAACGUCCGGAAACGGGCGCUAAUACCGCAUACUAUCAGAUGAGCCUAGGUCGGAUUAGCUAGUGGGUGGGGUAAAGGCCUACCAAGGCGACGAUCCGUAACUGGUCGGAGAGGAUGAUCAGUCAAACUGGAACUGAGACACGGUCCAGACUCCUACGGAAGGAUGAAGUGGGGAACAUUGGACAAUGAGCGAAGGCCUGAUCCAGACAUGCCGCGUGUGGGAAGAAGGUCUUCGGAUUGUAAAGUACUUUUGUUAGGGAAGCGGUACCUAAAGAAUAAGCACCGGCUAACUACGUGCCAGCCGCCGCGGUAAUAC